GCCCGCCUGCACCCAGGUGAAAUAAACAGCCAUGCUGCUCACACAAAGCCUGUUUGGUGGUCUCUUCACACGGACGCGCAUGAAAUUUGGUGCAGUGACUCGGAUCGGGGAACCUCCCUUAGGAGAUCAAUACCCUGUCCUCCUGCUCUUUGCUCCAUGAGAAAGAUCCACCUACGACCUCAGGUCCUUAGACCGACUAGCCCAAGAAACAUCUCACCUAUUUCAAAUCCGGAGUUUGCUACAAGUGCCAGAAAUCUGACCACCAGGCCAAGGAAUGCCUGCAGCCCAGGAUUCUUCCUAAGCCGUGUCCCAUCUGUACGGGACCCCACUGGAAAUCGGACUGUUCAUCUCACCUGGCAGCCACUCCCAGAGCCCGUGGAACUCUGGCCCAAGGCUCUCUGACUGACUUCUUCUUGGCUUAGAGGCUGAAGACUGACACUGCCCGAUCGCCUUGGAAGCCCCCUAGACCAUCACGGACACCGAGUUUUAGGUAACUCUCACAGUGGAGGACUCAGCCCAUCUGCACCCGGGGGAAAUAAACAGCCAUGUUGCUCACACAAAGCCUGUUUGGUGGUCUCCUCACACGGAUGCGCAUGAAACUUAUAAAGGAGGAAAUUUAUAAAUAAAAACUUGUAAUUUAUAAAUGAAACUUGUAAAUGAGGUCAUUUGUAAAUGAGAAAAGGCUUAUAACAGGAGUAUCAGGGCUCUGUGCCUCCAUUAAACAUCUGAAUCUAAAGUAAAAUUUAUCUUCUUAAGUGAAAAAUAAAUUAACAACACAAAUUAACAUGGAUGAGGGGGUCAGAAAUGUUUAUGAUCAGGCAAGAAAAGAGCUAAAAUGUUCAGGGUGCUAUGGAAGAAUUAAGUAAAUGUUUCUGG